CCUACGGGGGGCAGCAGUGAGGAAUAUUGGUCAAUGGACGAGAGUCUGAACCAGCCACGUAGCGUGAAGGAUGACUGCUCUAUGGGUUGUAAACUUCUUUUAUAAAGGAAUAAAACGAGGCACGUGUGCCUUUUUGCAUGUACUUUAUGAAUAAGGAUCGGCUAACUCCGUGCCAGCAGCCGCGGUAAUACGUAGGAUCCGAGCGUUAUCUGGAUUUAUUGGGUUUAAAGGGAGCGUAGGUGGGUGGUUAAGUCAGUUGUGAAAGUUUGCGGCUCAACCGUAAAAUUGCAAUUGAUACUGGCAGUCUUGAGUACAGUUGAGGUAGGCGGAAUUCGAGGUGUAGCGGUGAAAUGCGUAGAUAUCACGAAGAACCCCGAUUGCGAAGGCAGCUUACUAAACUGUGACUGACAUUGAUGCUCGAAAGUGUGGGUAGCAAACAGGAUUAGAUACCCUUGUAGUC
rnacentral:rRNA from 1 species